GGCGUCUUACCCAAGUGGGAAGGGGAUGGUCUGCAAAACCACUAUGAAACAGUUCGAUUCUGUUAGACGCCU
rfam:Treponema porcinum strain ATCC BAA-908 genome assembly, contig: EI69DRAFT_scaffold00015.15